rnacentral:misc_RNA from 1 species
AACGCACAUUGCGCCCGCCAGUAUUCUGGCGGGCAUGCCUGUUCGAGCGUCAUUUCAACCCUCGAGCCCCUCCGGGGGAUCGGUGUUGGGGACCGGCACCCCCGCUGUUCCGCAGCGGUCGCCGCCCCCGAAAUGCAGUGGCGGCCUCGCCGCAGCCUCCUAUGCGCAGUAGCUUGCAAAACUCGCAUCCUGGAGCGCGGUGCGGCCACAGCCGUUAAACCCCCCAAUUACUUCAAAUGGUUGACCUCGGAUCAGGUAGGAAUACCCGCUGAACUUAA